rnacentral:rRNA from 1 species
UGGGGAAUCUUGCACAAUGGGCGAAAGCCUGAUGCAGCAACGCCGCGUGCGGGAAGACAGCCCUAGGGUUGUAAACCGCUUUCAGCAGGGAAGAAACUGACGGUACCUGCAGAAGAAGAUGCGGCCAACUACGUGCCAGCAGCCGCGGUGACACGUAGGCAUCAAGCGUUAUCCGGAUUUAUUGGGCGUAAAGAGCUCGUAGGCGGUUCGGUAAGUCGGGUGUGAAAACUCUGGGCUCAACCCAGAGAGGCCACUCGAUACUGCUGUGACUAGAGUGCGGUAGGGGAGCGGGGAAUUCCUGGUGUAGCGGUGAAAUGCGCAGAUAUCAGGAGGAACACCAGUGGCGAAGGCGCCGCUCUGGGCCGUAACUGACGCUGAGGAGCGAAAGCAUGGGUAGCAAACAGGAUUAGAUACCCUGGUAGUCCACACCGUAAACGAUGAAUGCCAGUCGUCGGGUAGCAUGCUAUUCGGUGACACACCUAACGGAUUAAGCAUUCCGCCUGGGAGUACGGUCGCAAGGUUAAAACGUCAAAGG